rnacentral:rRNA from 1 species
AACGUAGGAGGCGAGCGUUAUCCGAAUUUACUGGGCGUAAAGAGCGCGCAGGCGGUCGUUCAAGUCGAGUGUGAAAGCCCCCGGCUCAACUGGGGAGGGUCAUUCGAUACUGAUCGACUCGAAGGCAGGAGAGGGAAGUGGAAUUCCCGGUGUAGUGGUGAAAUGCGUAGAUAUCGGGAGGAACACCAGUGGCGAAGGCGACUUCCUGGCCUGUUCUUGACGCUGAGGCGCGAAAGCUAGGGGAGCAAACGGG